rnacentral:rRNA from 1 species
UACGUAGGGGGCAAGCGUUGUCCGGAAUCAUUGGGCGUAAAGAGCGCGUAGGCGGCCAGAAAAGUCCGCUGUGAAAACUCGAGGCUCAACUUCGAGCUGUCGGUGGAAACUUUCUGGCUAGAGUCCGGAAGAGGAGAAUGGAAUUCCUGGUGUAGCGGUGAAAUGCGCAGAUAUCAGGAAGAACACCCGUGGCGAAGGCGGUUCUCUGGGACGGUACUGACGCUGAGACGCGAAAGCGUGGGGAGCGAACAGG